rnacentral:rRNA from 1 species
UACGGAGGAUGCGAGCGUUAUCCGGAUUUAUUGGGUUUAAAGGGUGCGUAGGCGGACGCUUAAGUCAGCGGUAAAAUUGCGGGGCUCAACCUCGUCGAGCCGUUGAAACUGGGUGCCUUGAGUGGGCGAGAAGUACGCGGAAUGCGUGGUGUAGCGGUGAAAUGCAUAGAUAUCACGCAGAACUCCGAUUACGAAGGCAGCGUACCGGCGCCCAACUGACGCUGAAGCACGAAGGCGUGGGUAUCGAACAGG